GUUACAGCGAGCCGAUGUCAGUGCGAGUGCCAGAAGAUAUAUUAUAUCGAUUAGCGAUAAAGCGCGCCGGAAUAGACACGGGCAGACAGGUAGAUCGGUGGGUUGGUCGGUAGGUGGGUGAAGUAGGUAGAAGAACGUGGGUUGUGUGCUGUGUAAAAUUGUAUAUCCGUGUGCGUUCUCUUGCGAGAUCGAUCGAUCGAUCGAUGAUUUGAAAAAGAAUAUAUGAAUCGGGUAUAUAUCAACAAUUUAUUCCGAUCCGAUUUGUUGGAACCGAGUUCUCUCUUCGAAGGUCGUUGACUGAUCGAGUCGGCGAAAUUCGAGGUUGGGACGACGAGCUUCCAUGGAGAAAUGUGUCCCUGACGAGGACAUGCGAUCUCGCCGUUUGCCAGAAGCCAACCAGCGACAACGUCACUGCCACUGUGGAACGCAGCCUCGAAAACACUGGUACGACCGAUCAUUUUGUCUACCGAGAAGAGUAGAUCGACGUAUUCGGGCAACGAACUAUCGGCUAAGAAAAAAAGCAGAAAAAUUUUUAAAAAGAGCAAGAAAAUAAAAAGGAAAAGAAAAAGAAAAACGAAUAAAAGAAUGAAAACAAAGCUUCGCACUGCCAUUUGGAUGAUAUCGGCUACCUAGUCGUUUCUUCUCCAUUCUGUUCGACAGGAGGAACACUGCUCAUGCACUUAUGCGCACGCUCGAUCACUCAUCAACGAGGAGACCAUCCACGUGCUUCUAGCGAACGUGGCAUUAAGGAUCGACAUGUGUUACUAUCCUUUUUUCUCUUUCUAUUAAUAUUAUUAUUAUUAUUUUUAUUAUUAUUAUUAUUAUUAUUAUUAUUAUUAUUAUUAUUAUUACUAUUAUUAUUAUUUAAAUUAUAGAGGAUACCUCGUAGGUACCAUUCGUUGUAUACGUUUUACAAUUAGUCGUGUUAUUAGGCGAGGUCGUAUCUCUUCUAGUAGAUACGGAGGAGGGGAAAUGCCGCGAGUUACGCGCGAUGCUUUUAUUAACCUGCAACCGAGAAGCUGCCGGGUGUGAAGCCUCGUCCUUAACCUUUUCCCUGCUACUUUGUUUUACAACUGUUAUUGCGGUCUCUGUAGGCACCUAGUGCCGUUACUGCUGUGCUCACUUACUAUUCUCUCGCUACUGGAAGGAGUAGUACGCACACCAGGAAAGACGACGACGCGAUCAACAAGCAAUUCGAGAAAUAUAUGUAUUUACGUACAUACAUACACAACGCAUAGUUCAUACGUGUCAUGAGACAUAUACACACACGUGCGCAGAAACAGACACAGCUCCUCGUUACUUUUUCGAUCGUGCCUCUUCCUAUUUUUUUUCUUGAAUAGAACUAAAGAAAAGCGAAGAGGUUCUCGAUAACCUUCAGUUUUUUCUUUUUCUCUUUCUUUAUCUCUUUUUGUUUUUUUCUGUUUUAUACAAUAAUUUUUAUUAUUACUAUUAAAAAGAAAGAAUCGCUUGAGUGUUCAUUGACCCGUUCGCUCGCACUCUCCCGAUCGCGGAACGUACGCAAGAGAACAUGCGAGAUUUACACACUAGCACAAACGUGCGACUCGCACGUACACCGACGCUCAUCCCUGAGAAAGAGAGAAGGAGAGAAAAAGAGUGCACGCAAGUACACACAUAUGGUCGCACGCAUAUACGUAUGUAUAUAUAUAUGUGUGUGCGUGUGUGUGUGUGUGUAUACGUAAAGGCCGAGCGGCAGCACUUCUCGCGUCGUCAGGAAGCAGUUAACCGUGCACCCGUGCAUUGUUACACAUAACUUCUUUCCAUCGCGUCUCGCGGUGUGUUGUAACGCGCGAUCCACGCGUUUUAAAACCACGACAACCGCGUACUUUGCAUUCUUCUCGCAAUACGAACAUCCACGCGAGUAAAAGGCCGCCGCUACUCUUUGUGUGCUACGUACGCACAUUUGUGUGUGUGCACGCGCGCGCGCGCAUGAGGCCCGUAUGUGCUUGUACGCGCGUCUCUAUUCGUUGCGGUCGCGUUCUCUGGACGAUCAUCUUUCUCUUUCUCUUCUCGCAAUUCCUCGCGAGAACGAUCUUCCACCAGUUUCUUUUCUAUCUCUACAUAUAUAUAUAUAUAUAUAUAUAUAUAUAUAUAUAUAUAUAUAUGGAUAUACAUGUACGUAAACAAUACACACAGCGCACACUCACGAACACACACGACACACGACAAUGUGUACGAGUUACCGUAUUUUUUCUUAUUUUAAAGGACCGAUCGAUAAGCUACUCCUCGAGCAAAUCGUUCGUUCUAUCCUAUCUUCUUAUCUCUUCCUAUUCUCUUUUACGCCGAUUUUCUCCCUAAAUAUUUCAUUAUCAGUUUACUUAUUUUAUCACUUAUUAUUAUUAUUAUUAUUAUUAUUAUUAUUAUUAUUAUUAUUUUUAUUUUUAUUAUAUUAUUAUAUUAUAUCAUUGCUAUUUGUAUUAUUACAUAUCAUCCAUCAAUUGUUUUGUCCUCUCUCUCUUUUAAUUAUUAUCAUGUGCUUAAGCAAAUGUAGCAAAAACUUGUCGUUUGCAUGAUAAUGGAACAUAAGAGUAAAGUGCAAAUUAUAAAAAUUUUGAACGAACGUGUGCUUCUGUGUACGUGUGUGUAUAGAUGCAUGUGUGGCUGUUUAAUUGAAAGUUAUUGGAAAGAAAGAGAGGGAGAAAGAUGUGUAGAUUGAAAUGCUACUACACACGUUUAUAUAUAUAAAAAAAAAAUCUAAUAAAAAGAUACGUAUGCAUUCA